CCUACGGGAGGCAGCAGUGGGGAAUAUUGCACAAUGGGGGGAACCCUGAUGCAGCGACGCCGCGUGAGUGAAGAAGUAUUUCGGUAUGUAAAGCUCUAUCAGCAGGGAAGUUAAUGACGGUACCUGACUAAGAAGCCCCGGCGAAAUACGUGCCAGCACCAGCGGGAAUACGUAGGGGGCAAGCGUUAUCCGGAUUUACUGGGUGUAAAGGGUGCUUAGGUGGUAGGGCAAGUCAGUUGUGAAAGCCCGGGGCCCAACCCCGGUACUGCAUUUGAAACUGUCCGGCUGGAGUUCAGGUGAGGUAGGCGGAAUUCCUAGUGUAGCGGUGAAAUGCGUAGAUAUUAGGAAGAACACCGGUGGCGAAGGCAGCUUACUAGACUGUAACUGACACUGAGGCACGAAAGCGUGGGGAGCAAACAGGAUUAGAUACCCCUGUAGUC
rnacentral:rRNA from 1 species